CUGACUGGUUUCAUUUGGCCGCGAUUCCAAACUUGGAGUAAAUGAUAAAACAAAAGGCUUUUGUUUUGCCACCAAAACUCGGAAAUUCAACAUCAAAUUUCUCUAGAAGUUCUCCGAGGAUCAAUAUGCAUGCAGAAUUUAUUUUGCUGGCCUCAAUGUUAUUCUAUCAUGGACCAAGGAAGAGUCACAACACCUAGUAUAUUGGGAUUCUCGGUGUAUUUAAAAUUAAAAUCAAGGUUAACUGAA